rnacentral:rRNA from 1 species
UGCCAGCCGCCGCGGUAAUACGUAGGUGGCGAGCGUUAUUCGGAUUUAUUGGGCGUAAAGGGUCCGUAGGGGGUUUGUCAAGUCUGAUGUGAAAUGCCGAGGCUCAACCUCGGAACUGCAUUGGAAACUGGCUUACUAGAGCAUAGGAGAGGAGAGUGGAAUUCCUGGUGUAGCGGUGGAAUGCGUAGAUAUCAGGAGGAACACCGAUGGCGAAGGCAGCUCUCUGGCCUAUCGCUGACCCUGAGGGACGAAAGCUAGGGGAGCAAACAGGAUUAGAUA